UGGGGAAUAUUGGACAAUGGGCGAAAGCCUGAUCCAGCCAUGCCGCGUGUGUGAAGAAGGUCUUCGGAUUGUAAAGCACUUUAAGUUGGGAGGAAGGGCCAUUACCUAAUACGUGAUGGUUUUGACGUUACCGACAGAAUAAGCACCGGCUAACUCUGUGCCAGCAGCCGCGGUAAUACAGAGGGUGCAAGCGUUAAUCGGAAUUACUGGGCGUAAAGCGCGCGUAGGUGGUUAGUUAAGUUGGAUGUGAAAUCCCCGGGCUCAACCUGGGAACUGCAUUCAAAACUGACUGACUAGAGUAUGGUAGAGGGUGGUGGAAUUUCCUGUGUAGCGGUGAAAUGCGUAGAUAUAGGAAGGAACACCAGUGGCGAAGGCGACCACCUGGACUAAUACUGACACUGAGGUGCGAAAGCGUGGGGAGCAAACAGGAUUAGAUACCCCCGUAGUCCCUGAGCGGGCUGGCAAGGCGCAU
rnacentral:rRNA from 1 species